rnacentral:miRNA from 1 species
UGUGUGUGUGUGUGUGUGUGUGUGUGUGUGUGUGUGUGUGUGUGUGUGUGUGUGGCGCGCUCAUGCGCACAC